UUCUCAUGUCUGACUGCCAUCUUCCUGGAAUUGAGGUUGAGUAUCAAAUGGAUGGUCAGCGUUUCAACCUGUGGCACCUUCACAGCAAAACCAAAGUUACCAAGACUGGCAUGACUGACUUUCAGUACACUGAUGGUUGUCUGCACA